AGAGAUGGACUGCCUGUCAUCAAAACUAACAAACAACUUUAAUUUUAUUUUUGAACGUUUGUUUGUUCGUUUCUGCCAAAAAUGAUUAAAAUCAUGACAUCAGCUUGCAUUUGCUGUUAUUAACAUUACAAAGAGCAGACUUCAUACUUGGUGACUAAAGGACUUUAUAACUUUCUCUCUCAUUAAUUAUUAACAGUCGGUUCAGAUUAUUAGACUAUUAUUCAACCCUCAGUCCUCUGAUCAGAUUCAGGGCCCUCCAGUUAGAAAUUACACUGGAAUUUCCUAUUGGAAUAACCUAGAAUACUGAGAAAACUGGGCGGAUUAUAACCAGCAUAUAUUAUGUUUGACAAGCAAAGCACUGGAUUCCUGUAAAAAGAUAUCUGAGGUCACAUCCCUGAGGGGCGUGCUGACAUCACCACAGUCGUGCGAGCUCAUCUGCAACUAAAUGUGCAGAAGGCCGCUGCUUUAGCUGAUGAAGGAAAACGUUUGCAAAAUAUUGCAAAAAACGUUGCUGAAAUCCAGAGAGUCAAUGCUGGGCUGGAGUCUGAUCAAAGAACAGGAAGAACCAGGAUCAGACGUGACAUUGAUAAAGAGAGAGAGAGAGUCAGGGAAUAAAAGAUAUACCAGUCUGUAUCAUCUUACAUAUUUUGCAUCACUUUCUGUUUUCUCUCACACAUACUCUCCUCAGUUUUACACUACACAACAUUUAUGUACUGGAAAAUGGAAACGUUUUGUGAUUUUUUAAAGCAACACUAUGUAGUUUCCAUGUUAAAAGGACUUACAGCUCCCCCAUGUGGUUGAAAAGUGCAACAGUGCCUGGUAUCAGACACUCUUCUGCAGGCAGGGGGAGGGGCGGGGCUGUGUUUCCUACUCUCCACCGCCACUUUCAGAGUGUGCUUGUAGCAGCUAGGAGGCUGCUCAGGUUGCAGCAACAGUACAAUUUGUCCAGUUAAAAGUUGUUCUAUCACUGAAAUAAUUUUAGAGACAUUAUUUAAAGGGAAAAAAAACUACAUAGUGUUGCUUUAAGUUUUGCGUACAGACGACAACGUUUUAAAACAAUUUACAAUAGACAAAAUCAUGACAAUAACACAAAAAUGACACAACAGUGUUAUGCAUAUCAUGCAAUAUGCAUGCACCUCAUAUAUUGUUUUUGCAGUUUACACAGAAGUGGUAUUGUUUUUGAAAACUCUGAAACGCUUAUUAAAAAGUUUGCCUUUUCAGGCACGCAAAAUGCUGUUGUUGUUUAAAUAAAUGGCCAAAUGGCCAUUAAAAGCAUUUUGUUUUUAAUUAAAAAUGGUGUUGUGUAAACACCACCUCAAUUUACAUUUUUUGGCUUCCAUAAUAAUCAUAGUCUUGUAUAGCAAGACCUUUGACUUUAGACAUGGCAUAAUGUCUAAGUGGAGCACUUUGCAGUUUAUUUAGGCCAAUAACCCUACUGAAAAAUCCAGCUAAGACCAGCAUAAGCUGGUGAGCUGGUUUUAGC